rnacentral:rRNA from 1 species
UACGAAGGGGGCUAGCGUUGCUCGGAAUCACUGGGCGUAAAGCGCACGUAGGCGGCUUCUUAAGUCGGUGGUGAAAUCCUGGAGCUCAACUCCAGAACUGCCUUCGAUACUGGGGAGCUCGAGUCCGGGAGAGGUGAGUGGAACUGCGAGUGUAGAGGUGAAAUUCGUAGAUAUUCGCAAGAACACCAGUGGCGAAGGCGGCUCACUGGCCCGGUACUGACGCUGAGGUGCGAAAGCGUGGGGAGCAAACAGG